UACGAAGGGGGCUAGCGUUGUUCGGAUUUACUGGGCGUAAAGCGCACGUAGGCGGAUUGUUAAGUCAGGGGUGAAAUCCUGGAGCUCAACUCCAGAACUGCCUUUGAUACUGGCAAUCUUGAGUCCGGAAGAGGUGAGUGGAACUCCUAGUGUAGAGGUGGAAUUCGUAGAUAUUAGGAAGAACACCAGUGGCGAAGGCGGCUCACUGGUCCGGUACUGACGCUGAGGAGCGAAAGCGUGGGGAGCGAACAGG
rnacentral:rRNA from 1 species